AUACGUAGGUGACAAGCGUUAUCCGGAUUUACUGGGCGUAAAGGGCGUGUAGGCGGUCUUGCAAGUCAGAAGUGAAAUUCCUGAGCUCAACUCGGGCGCUGCUUCUGAAACUGCAGGACUUAAGUGCUGGAGGGGAUAGCGGAAUUCCUAGUGGAGCGGUAAAAUGCGCAGAUAUUAGGAAGAACACCGGUGGCGAAGGCGGCUAUCUGGACAGUAACUGACGCUGAGGCGCGAAAGCGUGGGGAGCAAACAGGAUUAGAUACCCUGGUAGUCCACGCCGUAAACGAUGGAUACUAGGUGUAGGGGGUAUCGACUCCCUCUGUGCCGCAGUUAACACAAUAAGUAUUCCGCCUGGGGAGUACGGCCGCAAGGUUGAAACUCAAAUGAAUUGACGGGG
rnacentral:rRNA from 1 species